UACAGAGGUCCCGAGCGUUAUGCGGAAUCACUGGGCUUAAAGCGUGCGUAGGCGGAUCGUUAAGUACCUUGUGAAAUCCCACGGCUUAACCGUGGAACUGCUUGGUAUACUGGCGAUCUUGAGCCACUUAGGGGCUACCGGAACAAAUGGUGGAGCGGUGAAAUGCGUAGAUAUCUGGAGGAACACCGGUGGCGAAGGCGGCAUCCUGGGCCGACACUGACGCUGAUGAGCGAAAGCCAGGGGAGCAAACGGG
rnacentral:rRNA from 1 species